rnacentral:tRNA from 1 species
GGUGCUAUAGCAAAAUGGUCAUUGCAAUAGUUUGCAAAACUAUUGAGUAUAGGUUCAAGUCCUGUUAGCGCCU